rnacentral:rRNA from 1 species
GACGAACGCUGGCGGCGUGCCUAAUACAUGCAAGUCGAACGCAUUUUCUUUCACCGUAGCUUGCUACACCGAAAGAAAAUGAGUGGCGAACGGGUGAGUAACACGUGGGUAACCUGCCCAUCAGCGGGGGAUAACACUUGGAAACAGGUGCUAAUACCGCAUAAUUCCAUUUACCGCAUGGUAGAUGGGUGAAAGGCGCUUUUGCGUCACUGAUGGAUGGACCCGCGGUGCAUUAGCUAGUUGGUGGGGUAACGGCCUACCAAGGCUGCGAUGCAUAGCCGACCUGCGAGGGUGAUCGGCCACACUGGGACUGAGACACGGCCCAGACUCCUACGGGAGGCAGCAGUAGGGAAUCUUCGGCAAUGGCCGCAAGUCUGACCGAGCAACGCCGCGUGAGUGAAGAAGGUUUUCGGAUCGUAAAACUCUGUUGUUAGAGAAGAACAAGGAUGAGAGUGGAAAGUUCAUCCCUUGACGGUAUCUAACCAGAAAGCCACGGCUAACUACGUG